UACGUAGGGCGCAAGCGUUGUCCGGAAUUAUUGGGCGUAAAGAGCUCGUAGGCGGCCUGUUGCGUCCGCUGUGAAAUCCCGGGGCUCAACCCCGGGCCUGCAGUGGAUACGGGCUGGCUAGAGGCAGGCAGGGGAGAACGGAAUUCCUGGUGUAGCGGUGAAAUGCGCAGAUAUCGGGAGGAACACCUAUGGCGAAGGCAGCUCGCUGGGACGUUACUGACGCUGAGACGCGAAAGCGUGGGGAGCAAACAGG
rnacentral:rRNA from 1 species